GGUUGCGAAUUAACGGGCUUUUAUCCCCGGAACGACGAAAUUCGACAAUAUGCCGGACCAGAGUAUUCCAUUAGCGAUUCCGCGAUGCGCCGUCGCUCCGGCGACGCCUGGAUAUCGCCGACGCCGACGCCGACGUUGUCGUAAUUUAAUACUCGUCGAUGUCCCUUCAAACCCCUCUCCUAACUCCUAACCUCUCAGUUCUCCUAAACACUCUCACUUGAGUUUCUCGUUCUCUUCGUAUAUAACUAUCCAUGAGUCAACACACACAGAGCGUCGUUUCUUUAGCAAAUUCAUCCGAUCAAUAAACGUGGAAAUGGAUGGAAGGUAACGUUUCAGGAAAGAGAAUUUCCGAAGUGGUUCGAAAGAGGACGUGAAAAUGUGCUCGCAUAAAAAUGCCAUUGUGACAGACAUCAUCGGCGCUCGUCAAAGCGGAAAGGUUCCGUCUGGACGUUUCCGGUAUUAUCACGUUAACCUCUUCCCGCCAAUCCCAUUCCCUAAAUCCUCCAUCCCUUACGAUUGAUCUUCAUCGGAGAUGUAUUGCUUUUGUGUUCGCCAUAUACGCUCGCGCACUUAUGUUAUUACAUUAUUAACCUCAUAUGGAAUGAAGAUUGACUGAUACGUCCGCAAAGUCACUAAUUAUUCGUCCGAUUAGCUUCUAUCUCACGUCAGAUAAGCUUGAUUUUCCGAUCGAUUUCCAGGGAGUUAAGAGUCAAUGAACCGUAUAGAUAAUUUGCCGAUAGAUUCUUAUAAUUUGAUAAUGCAGUUCUAAUAUUAUUCGUCGCAUUCAUGAAUACAAUAUAUCAAUUUAAUAAAAUUUGAUGUAAUUGUA